rnacentral:lncRNA from 1 species
GUUCAUCUUCGUGUCGAGGAUACCCAGAAGAGACCAACAGCGAACUACAAGGCCCAGAUAUCAUCAAAUUCUGCCCACCCUCUCCUCCAGCUUCUGGCCCUUGUUGCAAUGGGAAAAGUAACUAUCUCCAAAUAAAGAAAAAAGUAGAUCUUCUCCACACAGAAGAACAAGUGUUGGAGCUGGAGAAAUGUCUCAGCAGCUAAGAGCAAGAGGACCCAGCUUCAAGUCCCUGCACCACAUGUUUCGGAUGACUAUCAGCAUUGCUUGGUUUGUUUCCACCUCUCUGAGUCCGUCAUCUUGAAGCCUCUGAGAGAGGCAGACAGCUCGUCAGAUUCAAAACUAAGAAGACGUACAGGAUUGGCGAGCUCCUCCCUCCUCAGGUGUGAUACAGCAAUGUGCAGUUGCUGUGAGAGGAGAAGCUUCAGGGUGGCUGCCUGCAAAUGUCCAGGGAGCUGCGGAAACACAGGCAACUUGCAGAAGUCAGCGCUGUGCUAUGUCUGCUUCACUGUGCUAAGUGCACUCUUCGGUGACAGCUGCCUGAGUCACUCUCGCUCCGAACAGAGGGAAACCAAGAUGGCUGCCACUCCCCUUAGCGUGUUUUUAGGAGGGAACGGCAGAAGCAAUAUAUUGAGAUAAUUCCAUGAACGGAACAGCGCUCAAGCAGGACGCAGUAGCUUGUGGUGAAGAUUUUAUAGUUACUAAAGCUGGAAGGUUGGUAGCUCUACAGCAAACGUGGCAUUGAGAAAUCACCAAAGGAGGCUUGGAAACAAACAUUUCAUAAGUGUCAUCUGGAGUGUCCAGAGAGACACUCCAGUAAAAGAGCAGUCAAGAACCCCAGGCUAGUAGUUCAGUGAUUGGACUGAAGCUGCAAUCAAGGUUAUUAGAAUACUCGUUACAGACAUUUCUAACCAGGGUGUUAGAAUAUAAGAAUUAAGUUCAAAUUCUUUAAUGAGCCUUAUAGUAAAAAAAUAUUUGGAGUUUUAGAAUGAUUGUGUAUUUUUCCAGGACACCACACAAA